CACUGGUUCUCAACCAGGGGUACAUGUACCCCAGGGGGUACACAGAGGUCUUCUAGGGAUACAUCAACACAUCCAGAUAUAUGCCUAGUUUUACAACAGGCUACAUAAAAAGCACUAGUGAACAGAGAGUGACUUGUUUUUAC